UCCUGGUUCAGAGAAAAGAAUGUUUUUUCCUCACAACAAAAGCAGAAACCAGAGCUUUAUGAUCAUCUGUUUUGGUUCCCCCACCUUCUCCUUUCACCAAGUCUAAGGGAGUGCAUUACAGGAGAGAAACUCUGGAUUAUAGGAUUCACCACUGUCAUAAUUCAAGUUGAUGAUCCUCAGCACACACAGCCUUCCCAACCCUCAAAUGGCCUCCACAAACUUCUGCUUUGUUGGAUGGUGGCCUGGAGAAGGAGUGUCAAGGGCCACAUCUGGUCAGAAGUAGCCUCCGGCAUGGCAUGUCUCCUCAAAUAUGGAAAAGUGCAGCAAAAGAAGAAAGGAUAUUUAUGCUCCUGGUUCUCAGGCUUUUGGACUCAUACCUGAUGGUGUAUCAGCCCCCCAUUCUCAGGCCUUUCGACUCAGAUUGAAUUGUACCACUGGAUUUCCUGGUUCUGUAGCUUGCAGAUGGCAGAGCAUGAACUUCUCCGCCUCCAUAACCAUGGCCCAAAGUCACCUUCGUAUGGUCUGCAAAGAGGACAGAGUCAAGAACUGUUAAGUUUGCAUUGCAGUUUCACCAAGGAUAGAAAGUAGACCAUGAGACUGCCAAGGAAAUCCAGCAUUUUUCCCGAUUUUCCUGGCCAGAAGUUAAGAUGUUUACUGAGCUUCUACUGUGGCCCAGCACCCUGCAAUGGUUGGUGAGAAUUACAGAGAUAUUUUUGAACUGGAUUCUGCUUUUACGUAACUUACAGCCAAGAAGGACCAAUCUACCAUUUUAAGGUAGAAAGUGAUGCAUGACUCAGGGUUUUUUUUUUGCUCCAGUGGUGUGCUGAAACUUCUCCGCUGGACUCCUUGACUCCUACAAAGAAGCACUGUUUAACGUAACCUGUAUCUCCUCUUCCAUGGCACACACCUUGUGAACGUGAUGAGGCACCGGAAUGGGGAAGUCUGUGACCCGCAAGCAGCAGCGUGAAUGAUUCAUUGAAGACGAAUCAGAGGGAC